GACGAACGCUGGCGGCGUGCUUAACACAUGCAAGUCGAGCGGAGCGGCGAACGGGUGCGUAACGCGUGAGUAACUGCCCCCCUCUCUGGGAUAACAGUUGGAAACGGCUGCUAAUACCGGAUAGUGGGGGAUGACUCGCGUCCUAUCAGCUUGUUGGUUGGGUAGUGGCCUACCAAGGCGACGACGGGUCGCCGGCCUGGGAGGGGGACCGGCCACAGUGGGCUGAGAUACGGCCCAAACUCCUAUGGGGGGCAGCAGUGGGGAAUAUGGCACAAUGGGGGAAACCGUGAUGCAGCAACGCCGCGGGCGGAAUGACGGCCUUCGGGUUGUGAACCGCUUUCAGCAAUGACGCGGUAGUGGCAGAAGAAGCACCGGCUAACUACGUGCCAGCAGCCGCGGUAAUUC
rnacentral:rRNA from 1 species